AAGGCUUUAAGUUAACUAAACUAAUAGCCUUCAAAGCUAUAAAUAAAAAAUCAUUUUUUAAGCCUUA
rnacentral:tRNA from 1 species